CACGUAGGCGGAUUUGUAAGUCAGGGGUGAAAUCCCGGGGCUCAACUUCGGAACUGCCUUUGAUACUGCAAAUCUCGAGUCCGGAAGAGGUGAGUGGAAUUCCUAGUGUAGAGGUGAAAUUCGUAGAUAUUAGGAAGAACACCAGUGGCGAAGGCGGCUCACUGGUCCGGUACUGACGCUGAGGUGCGAAAGCGUGGGGAGCAAACA
rnacentral:rRNA from 1 species